rnacentral:rRNA from 1 species
UACGAAGGGGGCUAGCGUUGUUCGGAAUUACUGGGCGUAAAGCGCGCGCAGGCGGUCUUCCAAGUCAGUGGUGAAAGCCCGGAGCUCAACUCCGGAACUGCCAUUGAAACUGUAAGACUUGAGGAUGAGAGAGGUGAGUGGAAUUCCCAGUGUAGAGGUGAAAUUCGUAGAUAUUGGGAAGAACACCGGUGGCGAAGGCGGCUCACUGGCCCGGUACUGACGCUGAGGUGCGAAAGCGUGGGGAGCAAACAGG